rnacentral:lncRNA from 1 species
UCAAAGACUAAGGGGGAAAGGGUGAGAAAUUAAGUCUAGCAGUACAAUUAUAGAACCUCUGGUGUAUUCUCAUGGGAAAAUUAAUGUUUUAGGUAAAAUGGAGACGACAGUAGUUACGACAAAUACUUGAGAAAAGCCUAUGAAAUUACUGACUUUGGUAGUCCAGCCAAACAUUUGCUUCAGGAAAAGCAUCCAGAAAUAUAAUGAUUUAGGGAUAUCAAGGUAUACUAUAUAAAGCAUUGUUGUAUAUAUUAUUUCCUCUUUUCCCUUGGGAGGUAAUAUCUGAAUUAUUAUCAGACUCCUAAUGAGGAAACACUCUGAGAAGUGAGAAGCCUGCCUUGUGUCAGAGUGGGUAAAUCAGAGAGACAAAGGCGUUAGGGCUUGAACUCAGGCCCUCUGACUUUGCAGGGUUCUAUUGAAGUGGCCACCUUGCCUGAGGCUAUGAGGCUGAAGGAGUGGGCAGAGGAAUACACUGUGGUCAUUCACACCUGAAAUUAUCAUCUUACCAAGGAACCACCUUUCCCGAUUAGGUGACCAAUUCACUAUUUAUCCUUUUACUAUUUCUUAGAAACCCCAAAGCCAAUACAUACGCUAUUCCUUUGUAAAUUAUAGGGUCAAUGAAGUUGAAUUGAUUGUUUCUGGCCCCUCUGAUAAAGGUAAAUUGAGUAAAGUGUAAACGUGAAACAGCAUGGGUUAGGAUACUUUUCAAGGAUUUUGGUGCCAAUUUCUGUUUUCCCCAUGGCUACCCUCAUAUUAUCUUUGCUUUUAGGCAUUUUUUCCUUCAGAUAUAUAGGUUUUAUGCACAAAUGUUAGUGAAACAGACUGUUAACUGUGAGGUACAAUUUUUGUCCAGCAAAUUUUAGUUUCCACAUGAAAUGUUUCAUUGAAUUUGGAUAAUUUGAAAAGAGGAAUACAUUAUUUUAUAAAUUGUUAACUGUUUUAAAUUUGGUUAGGGGAAGACAGUGUGGUGAUUCCUCAAAGACCUAGAACCAGAAAUACCAUUUGACCCAGCAGUCCCAUUACUGUGUCUAUACUCAAAGGAAUAUAAAACAUUCUAUUAUAAAGAUACAUGCACGUGUGUGUUCAUUGCAGCACUAUUCACAAUAGCAAAGACAUGGAAUCAACCCAAAUGCCCAUCAAUGAUAGACUGGAUAAAGAAAACGUGGUACAUAUACACCAGGGAAUACUAUGCAGCCAUAAAAGGAAUGUGAUCAUGUCCUUUGCAGGGAUAUGAAUGGAGGCGGAAGCCAUUAUCCUCAGCAAACUAACACAGAAACAGAAGACCCAACACCACGCAGUCUCACUUACAAGUGUGAACUGAACAAUGAGAACACAUGGACACAGGGAUGGAAACAACACACACUGGGACCUGUUGUGGGGGUGGAGCGGGGAGAGGGAGAGCACCAGGAAAAAUAGCUAAUGGAUGCAGGGCUUAAUACCUAAGUGAUGGGUUGAUAGGUGCAGCAAACCACCAUGGCACACGUUUACCUGUGUAACAAACCUGCACAUCUUAUACAUGUAUCCCAUAACUUAAAAUAAAAUAAAAUAAAAAUAAAAUUCAGAAAUAACCACCCUCCCCCAAGAAAAAAAGAAGGAUGAGAAGAGUUAGAGGUUUGUUUCUGUGCCACCCUGUUCCAGAAAAGAGUUGAAACAGUUUACAAUGAAGUAUUUAAUAACAUAAAACCAAAUGAAGAUAGAAAAUUAUAGAGUAAAAAUGGAAUAUCAAGACAGGAAUAUGAAGAGACAGGUAAGUGAUGAGCAUUGUCACAGAUCUUAUCAGAGGCUGAGCUCCUAUGCAGAAUCCAUGAAUAACUAGACCUAAACCCUAUGCAGCUACCUGAUAGAUGUCAUAUGCUCAAAAAGGUGUUAGCAAGCAGUGGAUAGCCGUUGAAUCUGAGCCUGAAUGUAUGUUGUAUAAAGACGAUGUGUAAGGAGUAAUGUGUUCCCUUAUCCACAUAACACCACCACUGAACAAAGAGCAAAAAGAAAGAGAGGGAGGGAGGGAAAGUAUCUAUCCUACAUGUUGACAGCAAAGUUACAUUGUUUGAAUACCAAUGUAAGGAGCUUUGGCACCACAGUUGCAGACUGCCUUGAGUUCAUACAUUCUCAACCUUAACAACAAUGUAAUUUUUGCAACUAGAGACUUUUUAAAAAUUAGGGCAGACAACUAUAUUCAAAACAGUAGGCUCUGUCACUUCAAGAUCUGCUUUGAGAAAGGCAGUGAUAAUGGAGAGAGUAUUUGCUGAGGUGACUAAAAAAUUGAACACAAACGGUUUUUUCUGUCAACUGAAAUGACCACUAUCAUUUUGAACUUUCAUAAUUUUAGGAACACAUAGUUGGUUUUCAUUAAGCUGAGGAUGGCUUUGACCACCUGGUAAAGACUACAAUGUCACAGAGGUCAAAACCACGACAGACGCUUUAGAUGUACACAUAGUCAUGUAAAUUAUAAUGCUUCGUUGAAGUGAGGAGAAAUCACACUUACAUAGCUUAAAAAUAUCUCACUGGAUUUUGCUCAAAUUUGUAUCAAAUAUUGUACUGAAGCGCUAUUCAAGAUCAGAGCCCCAUGGAUAAGCUCGGGGCUUAUCAAGAAAAAUAUACACAGCUGCAUUGAUUUUCAGAUACACAGAACUCUAGAGAACGGAUGUGAUCAAGCAAACAACCUAACAUUUUCAAGGGGCUAAACCAAGGCCCAGAGUCGGGAGGGGACUUACCCAGACUCACAGGGAGCAGUGCCAAAGCUGGGCCAGACACACAUCCCCCUGGCGCCAGCCAGCUCCCCGACAUAGGACAGAUCAGAGUAAUACUUGAAAAUUUACAAUUCACUAUGUAGGAUUUGUGUUCCUGGAGAAGGAAGUCGGUUGGUGGGGGCAGGGCAGGGGGGCAAGUGCAAUGUACAAGUGAAUGCUGUGAUCCCUAAAUACCCGAGGAGAUGAGGGAAACCACAACUGGUGACAUCAGGGGAGUCAGAGACGGCACUGUGACAGGGCUUGAGUAAGGACGUGGAGCAGAUCAGAGUUCCUGGACAGGACAGUGCGUGGGGUGAGCACCUGGGUAAAUGGAAAAGGAGGAACCAGAGGCCUGGGGGAAUUCAUGAUGGACUAGGUCACUUUGGGCCAUAUGGGCGAAGGGGAUCAAACAAUUAAUUUUAAAAAAGAGACAGAUUGUACGUCUCCUUGAGAUUUAGCACCAGAGAUAUAGAAAGUGACAAGACACAGUUCGAGCCCUCCAGCCUCACCACACAGAGCAGACGACAAACCCUAAACUGAUCACUACAUGCAAUGAGAGAAAUGUCGCACUGGGGAACACAACAGGGCAUGGAAGACCUGUGCAAACUGUUAAGAAAAUGAGACCAAUUCUUCCUGGGAAAGUGUGACAGGUUCUGAAGAGCACCAACCAAAGAUCUGCAGUGGGGGCUCUGAGAGUGGAGUGAGGGGAGGGGCAGUGAGAAGCACCUGCCCCUGCACUGCUAAACAAAUCCCACACCAGAGCCUGCAGGCUCCCCAGCUCCAGCUCUAGGCCUGUGUCCACUUCCUACCAAGGCUGUUUCCUCCCGCCCACCUCUGUCCCCACAUUUUCACUCUGAAAUCAUGAUACCAGUUUGCUGUUUUCAGAAACAUCUGCAAUUCCAAAGGAAAAAAUCUAAAAGAAUAUCUAAUGAUGACGUUUCUCAUUAAAAUACCUUUUUGAUGUUAUUUGCCUUCUAGUGAAAAUCAUACCUAAUCAUUUUUGAAUUAAUUUUCAAAAAUUUUUGGAAUAUCAAAAGAAUAUUACAUUUUCUAAAUUGGUCAGUUGGGUUAAACACAACAAUGGAGACACACACAAAAGAAGCAAUACCUGAGGCUUAUAGUCAACAGUUACCCAAUAUGGACACUCAGAAAUCGUUGCGUUACUUAUUUUUAACCACAUCCUAUCUUCUUUAAAUAGUGGUAUCUGAGAUUUGAGAAGGCAGUGAGUUGCAGUUCUUCGAGAGCACUGAAUUCCUACAGAUAUAUUCAUUUUGUUUGUUUUCUCACUUACCUUUUUUAUUCUUGUUCAUCAAAGCCAUGACAUAACAGGUCCACAGAUCAGGAAAACAGCUCAUUACAUAAAGGGGGAAAUCAGAUUCACACACUACCUCGACUUUAGCCCAAACCCAGAUGGCAGAGUCUCCUCCAGGGUGGGAAAGUAGCCAUAAGCAUCCGUUUCAGUCACUCCACAUGUGUAUUCACACGACCUGCGGGGCGCCCCAGAGGCCAGGCGGCCGCUGGUUCUGGGGACGUUUUUCAGAAGAGCAAACGCACCGGAUGGCAGGUUUUGGAAAUGUUUCCCCUAAAGCAGACCCCAAAACCCAGCAGCGCUGAGCACUCAGGACCGUUUGUAUCUGUGUUAUUGCCCAUGAGAGAAUAGAUGGCAUGCAAAGACAUUAUUAUUAAAGUUGGUAGUGCAAGAACACACAGCAAAUUUAUGUCUUGUAGUCUAGAUAAAAUAUUACAGUCUCUGCUACAAUUUCAGCAGGCUCACUGGGGCCUGUGACCCCAGCAUCCUGGGAGCUCCACGUAGCCCACCUUAGCGCUGGGGUCCAAAGCCCUCAUCCAACUCACACCUCGCACUCCUGCCACUCACAGGUGAGACUGAGCUGCUGGGAACAUGGGGCCGUGCUGACUUUCCUUGUGCCUGCCCUGGCGUGAACACAGGACAUCCUGCACGGAGCAUGGGGAGGGGUGUGGUGGGUGUUCCUUGGCUUCCGGUUUCAUGUCCCCAGUCAUCACACCCUCCUGAGCAGGUACUUCCUCAGUGAGUGGGAUGCUCCAUCUGUAGUGAGAACCAUUGUGAUCCGUGCAGGCAGGGUGCUGAAGAGGUUGAGAAUAGGGGAAGGCUGCCCAAGGGGGAGAUUUGAUGCUGUUUACUCUGAGGCCUUUUGUGGAGGCCGAGCACCUCACUCUCUCUCGCAGAAGGAGGCAAUUGAGAAGUUGUGACCCAGUGCAGGCUGGGCUGCUUACCGUGUGCAAACUCAGCAAGUGCAGUGAAUGGAAAGCCACUUUAUUUCCAUAGCCACAGGGGGAAGUGGCCAGGUUUACACCUAGAGAAACUGCUUUGAAGGUUGGCUGAGGGCAGGGGUUUAAGAAGGAAAGCUUGAUAUGGGAGGCAUUUCACAUUGUAAUGGUAAGCGAGUGAUGGGGGUGUGACAUCUGUGUCUCUUUUUUCAGUGGCUAUCUCGGGUCACAGUCCUCCUGGAGCGUGGACUGGCAUAACCACAACAAUGACCAGGUUGUGGACGAACGGCUUUAAGGCCCAGCUUCAAAGCACAUUUCCAGCACCCUCCCAGGAACCGAUGUGAUUCAAAGAAGUGAAACAGCCUCUCAGAAAGGCUUACCGGGCUUAGGAUGCAGCCUGCUUGAGUUCGGUUCCUUUUCAAAGUCAGGUGCUUCUCAUCUAUCAACUGGGGGUCCCAAGAGGCAACCUCACCCAGUUAAAAAAGGAUUAAAUGCGCUUUCUAUGCAGACUUGAGGCUUUUCCCAGCAUGCAAUCUGUCAAGGGCCUGAGAUAACAAGAGGGUGGAGCCCUGCAGGAAGGCGGCCCUGGGCACCGGCAGCUGCCAGCAGAAUGGCCAGUCUGCUGCUUGUUUACACAGCAAAUUACAUUUUCCGAUAACAUAUCAUAACAGAUUAAGCCUGAAAAACACAUUCUUUCCAGGCCAGCAAGUGCUUCAGAGGAUUACUCAGCCCACAGGGCUUCUGACCUCCCUGCUCUUAAGGUCAGGGGAGCACAGGUUCCCAUCUGCCGCCUCCAGGUCCCAGUCCGAACCUGGAACGCAGCUGAUCUCAGCAUGGAGCUGCCCUGCGGUCGCCACACCCAAGAGCUGGAGCUCACUGAGGCGAGUUACUUUCUCCUGGGAGACGCAGCCAGCUCUUAUUUUAAAGCACAUAGCAUCCACCUAAAUGAAUGAGCACUUUUUUUUUCUUUCCAAUGAGCACCUUUAAAAAUUUAGUUUGGAAUGACUACAGGGGCUAAAAGCCACUUCUUGGGGCUUGGUUUUUCCAUAGAAGGAAUGCUUGAUCGCUUCAGCAGCUGAACCUGGGGAGCCACUACAUUCCUGCUGGUAAAAAAUAAAUCCAUUCCCCAGGGAGGUACCCUUGGGGUCCAGUUGCCCCAGGACCCAGGAGAGCUGGUCUUUCACGGAGAGGUCAGGAGAAGCAGGGAUAACAUGCUGUUCCAUGGGUCAUGAAUCUUGGUGGCGGAGGCUGCCCACGGGUGGCCCGUGAAAAUGUGGGGUGUCUGUUCCUCAAAGUGAUAGUGUGCCUCAUUCUAUGCCCCUGACUUAACACAGCUUCUGGACCCCACAGCCCGAACCCAUUUCUGCCCCCUCACUACUGGGGCUCUCAUUAUGUCAUCGACUGGGUGCCCCCUGUGGGGCAGAGGCUUGCAGGGAGGCCUGCCCGCCUCCCAGUGCCUGUUCUUGCGGCCUGCACAUGCGUAAAACCCACACUGCAGGAGUCAUUCCUCUGUCCAGGAAGGCUCUGCAGCCUCUUCCUCCCUUCACAAAGUCUGCCAAACUCUCACAUAGGAGAGGAACUCAUGAACCCUGCUCCACUGAGACACCCGCGGCAGAAUCGGGCCAUGUCAGAUUUGGGAUCAUUCAGCAAAUGCUUAUGGAACACUAACCUUGGCCACAUGGGCCCAGGGCUCUCAGACAUGUGGCACACGAGACAGGCAAGGGCCUGGCUUUCAGGAAAAAUUAUAUGAGUGGCAAGAAAGACCACAAAUGUUGACUUGGUGACUAUAUAGACCAGAAAAGCUCAUGGAGCGAUGGGCCUGUGACACACAGUGCAUCCUUCAGGAGCUCCUCCUUCCAGCCCAUUAGAGUCAUGGGGAGGCUGGGAAAAUGGGAAGGUCGGGGUGAGGCAGAGCAAAAAGCAAGGAGACACAGGAGGGAGUGUGCUCGCCCCCCACUCGAAGUUCAGAAAGAAGCCCUGAGAGGCUGCCCUGAGAGCCAGGGAGCGAUGAGGACUGGAAGCUGCAGGGAAGGGUUUGGCUUCUUUUCAUCUUUUCAAUGUGGAUGUGACUGGCCUCGAUCUCCCUCCUUAAGGGCUCAUUUCCUUUGUAGAGAGGAGAGUGAGAGGCCAGUCAGAAGGUGUUGGCCUGGUUCAGUUGAGAGAUGACUUUGGCAGAAGAAUCAACAGGACUGCUUUGAGACUGGAUACUGGGGCUAGGGGAAGGAGAGGGGAAGUGGGGGAGUCAGAUUCCAACGCCUGUAGGAGGAACACCCAUGAACAGAGCUUUCCUAGCUCCCUGGAUGCUUCUGUCAGCAUGGGACAGCCUAGGCCAGAAGCAAACCUGGUUUCAGUGAUGCCUGGAGGAGGAUGUGGGUAACCCCACCUGCACCUUUGCUGCAAAAUUCCCCCAGGGAUUUAGUCCUUAGCUGGAGCAAAGGUCAGACUCUCUGAUCUUCACUGACUGUGGAGAGAGGAGUGGAGUGGGUCAGAGAAUGGGCACAGAACAGACGGGAAGAAGCAUGACAGGGAAGAGGCCGCUGGGCCUAGAGCCAGCAGCAUUGCUCACACAGCUGCAGGAGCCGUUAGCUCUGUGUAUGGUUACUGUGUGACGGACUCCAGAUGCCCUCGGGAAGCCACAAGCCACUGCCCCCAAGGGGUGAAUAGCUGCCCUCUCACCAGGAGCAUUUUGCUGAAAUGGACUCUUGGGCUCUUCCAUAUUUAAAAUCAAAAUAGAUAAAGCGCA